rnacentral:rRNA from 2 species
UUAUACGGCGAAACUGCGAAUGGCUCAUUAUAUAAGUUAUCGUCUAUUUGAUAGUACCUUACUACUUGGAUAACCGUGGUAAUUCUAGAGCUAAUACAUGCUAAAAAUCCCGACUUCGGAAGGGAUGUAUUUAUUAGAUUAAAAACCAAUGCCCCCUGGGCUCUCUGGUGAUUCAUGAUAACUUCUCGAAUCGCAUGGCCUUGUGCCGGCGAUGGUUCAUUCAAAUUUCUUCCCUAUCAACUUUCGAUGUUUGGGUAGUGGCCAAACAUGGUUGCAACGGGUAACGGAGGGUUAGGGCUCGACCCCGGAGAAGGAGCCUGAGAAACGGCUACUACAUCCAAGGAAGGCAGCAGGCGCGCAAAUUACCCAAUCCCGACCCGGGGAGGUAGUGACAAUAAAUACUGAUACAGGGCUCUUUUGGGUCUUGUAAUUGGAAUGAGUACAAUUUAAAUCCCUUAACGAGGAACAAUUGGAGGGCAAGUCUGGUGCCAGCAGCCGCGGUAAUUCCAGCUCCAAUAGCGUAUAUUAAAGUUGUUGUGGUUAAAAAGCUCGUAGUUGAACCUUGGGCCUGGCUGGCCGGUCCGCCUCACCGCGAGUACUGGUCCGGCCGGGCCUUUCCCUCUGUGGAACCCCAUGCCCUUCACUGGGUGUGGCGGGGAAACAGGACUUUUACUUUGAAAAAAUUAGAGUGCUCCAGGCAGGCCUAUGCUCGAAUACAUUAGCAUGGAAUAAUGAAAUAGGACGUGCGGUUCUAUUUUGUUGGUUUCUAGGACCGCCGUAAUGAUUAAUAGGGACAGUCGGGGGCAUCAGUAUUCAAUUGUCAGAGGUGAAAUUCUUGGAUUUAUUGAAGACUAACUACUGCGAAAGCAUCUGCCAAGGAUGUUUUCAUUAAUCAGGAACGAAAGUUAGGGGAUCGAAGACGAUCAGAUACCGUCGUAGUCUUAACCAUAAACUAUGCCGACUAGGGAUCGGACGAUGUUAUAUUUUGACUCGUUCGGCACCUUACGAGAAAUCAAAGUGCUUGGGCUCCAGGGGGAG